GGGGGCGACUUGGCUUCGACGGGUUUGAUGAAGGAAUUGCAGCGUGUCCAGGUCCAGAGUCCUGGUAAAACCAUCUGGAACGAUUCAACUGCCAAUACUGAACUGGCAAUGGCUGCGUAAGCUGAGCUAACGCUCGCUUAUGCUCCUUCGGUGGCUGGAGCCCGCCCGGGGCGCUGCCCACCGAAUCGCAAAUCCGGGCUAGCUGGGAGUGUCGCUCCGACGCCUCCGGCGAGAUUUACAGGAGAUAGGCUUCGGAGGGGUCGGCUCGAUACCUCUCCAAAGUGACGGUAAAAAGUCGGGCCUACACACGUAGACGCAGUUCUGGAAGCUCACUCGGACCAGGGUUCGAUUCCCUGCGCCUCCAUUU
rnacentral:tmRNA from 1 species